rnacentral:rRNA from 5 species
CAGACCUCUAAUCGGAAAAGACUACCCGCUGAGUUUAAGCAUAUCACUAAGCGGAGGAGAAGAAACUAACCAGGAUUUCCC